rnacentral:rRNA from 1 species
UGGGGAAUCUUGGACAAUGGGCGCAAGCCUGAUCCAGCCAUGCCGCGUGAGUGAAGAAGGCCUUAGGGUUGUAAAGCUCUUUUACCAGGGACGAUAAUGACGGUACCUGGAGAAUAAGCCCCGGCAAACUUCGUGCCAGCAGCCGCGGUAAUACGAAGGGGGCUAGCGUUGUUCGGAAUUACUGGGCGUAAAGCGCACGUAGGCGGGUCGUUAAGUCAGGGGUGAAAUCCCGGAGCUCAACUCCGGAACUGCCUUUGAUACUGGCGAUCUAGAGGUCGAGAGAGGUGAGUGGAAUUCCGAGUGUAGAGGUGAAAUUCGUAGAUAUUCGGAAGAACACCAGUGGCGAAGGCGGCUAACUGGUCCGGUACUGACGCUGAGGUGCGAAAGCGUGGGGAGCAAACAGGAUUAGAUACCCAAGUAGUCCCUGAGCGGGCUGGCAAGGCGCAU